rnacentral:lncRNA from 1 species
ACAGCUGUAAUCAGAGCCACAGCAGUGACAACACUGGAUCCUUAAUGCACUAGGGCACAAGGGAACUCCUGAAUUACGUUUUAAAUCCAGAGUGGUCAGUGUCCAGGACUUUUCCCACAGUAUCAUCUGUGCCCUCCUGAAUGUUGGUAUGGCACCAUUUUUGACAAGUGUUCCACUAUUAUCUCUGGGAUUUUCUUUCAAGUUAUUGACACUCCCCAUUUUGCAGAUUUGGGGGUUAGUGCCUUGUUGAUCUCACCAAGUAUUAGAUUUCGAACCACCACAAUUUAUGGGCCUUCCUCAAAUGGUCCUUAAAAAGUCAGCUGACAGAAAUAGGAAGGGACUCAGUUAUCCAGCUGCACUGCUAGGAAUGACUGCCAAGUAGAACACUGGGAUUGCCCUGGCUGAUAGUAAUGAAAUCCACCAGUACCGUUACAACACUGCAGUUUUAGAACUAAUAAAAUGUCAGCAGAUAACCAACAAGUACCUACUGUACAGCACAGGGAACUAUACUCAAUAUUGCAUAAUAACCUAUAAGGGAAAAAAUUCUGAAAAAGAAUGUAUAUAUUUAUGUAUACAUACAUACGUAUAUAUGUAUGUAUAACAAAAUUGCUGUGCUGUAUGCCAGAAACUAACACAAUACUGUAAAUGAACUAUACCUCAAUUUUAAAAAUUGAAAAAUUUUGGAGUUCCUGCAGUGGUGCUGCAGUGGGUUAAGGAUCCAGCAUUGCCGCAGCUGUGGCUCAGAUUCAAUCGCUGGCCCGGGAACUUCCAUAUGCCACGGGUUGAGAUGGAUAGAUAAAAGUAUACAGAAAAGUAGUUUUCAGAAGUGAAUCCUCAAGUUACAAAUAAUUUCGUAUUCAGACUCUAUUCACUGAAAAUACACAAUGGGCCAACCCUAGUGCUUGGUUCCUUUGUAUACAUUAUCUCAUUUAAUAAUACAUACGUAAUUUUCGGGUGUCACAGUCAGUUUCAGGGUGAAACAGAUGACUUUAUCUACCAUUUGGUCUCCACUGACCUGGAAAUUACAUCAAUAUCACAAUGAAAACUGAUUUUCAUAAUUCUGCAAUCAGAAAAUAUCUUCAUAAUUAUCAAUGAAAUAUUGGAGUUCAGCAUAGUUUUACUGUCAAAGAUAUUCUAUAAUAAUUCCUGAGAAGCAGUAAUCUAUGUCAUGCAUAUUCUUUUUAAUUAAAAUAUUUAAUUAACUUAAAGUUCCCAUAUGGUUUCAACUGCUAAAUUCAACAGUUUAUGGUUUGAACUUUCAACUCAACUGUUAAAUUGAAAUGCAGGAGUUCCUGUUGUGACGCAGUGGAAACGAACCCAACUGGGAACCAUGAGGUUGCGGGUUUGAUCCCUGCCUCUCUCAGUGGGUUAAGGAUCCAGCGUUGCCAUGAGCUGUGGUGUAGGUCGCAUACGCAGCUCGGAUCUGGUGUGGCUGUGGCUGUGGUGUAGGCGAGCAGUGCAGCUCCGACUGGACCCCUAGCCUGGGAACCUCCACAUACCUUGGGGGCAGCCCUAAAAAAAAAAAAAAAAAAAAAAAAAAAA